UACGGAGGGGGCUAGCGUUGUUCGGAAUUACUGGGCGUAAAGCGCACGUAGGCGGAUUGCUAAGUCAGGGGUGAAAUCCCGGAGCUCAACUCCGGAACUGCCUUUGAUACUGGCGAUCUUGAGUCCGGGAGAGGUGAGUGGAACUGCGAGUGUAGAGGUGAAAUUCGUAGAUAUUCGCAAGAACACCAGUGGCGAAGGCGGCUCACUGGCCCGGUACUGACGCUGAGGUGCGAAAGCGUGGGGAGCAAACAGG
rnacentral:rRNA from 1 species